AUGAACCUAUGGAAAUGAAACCUCUGGAAAUUAAUCCAUCAUGUCCAGCAGAAGAAAAUGAUGUAUCUGUCCUGAUUCCUGUGGGGGACCAACUACCAGAAGCCCGUCUUUCCACUGAUGUUCCAGGAAAAAAGGGUUCCAAUCCAAAUCACAGCUUUCCACCAGAAACCACGGGGAUUUUUCAAGACAACAGAUUUGGACAUUUGGACAUCAGUGAUAAAUUGAGUACUGACCUCUUCCAGGACAAAAGUGAGGAGGCUUCCCUUAACCUAGUGUUUGAGCUGGAGGCUUGCUGAAGAGUAAAAGAAGAUGAGGCUCCUCUGGAGAAGGGUCAGUGCAGCAGGAACGUGGCAAGCUCCAUCCACCCAGGGCCACCUCCAGCCAGUCUACCUCUCGGUUGACUCCUGCACUGCUUGCAGAAACUGGGACUGGGACCAGGGCCUUGCCUGCUAAGGAAGAUGGAGAGAGAUCCUUUAAAACAAGGUUUCAUGUGUAUAUCCUCAAGUCUUGUGUUUCUUCUGAUUGAUUCUGGUUAUUCCAGAAUUUCUGCAUAUCUGUUCCAUAAGCAGAUUCACAAGUAUUCAUGGAGAAGAUCAUUGAAGGCCACCUGGGACACAUCUUAGAAAAUGAGUGAGUUCCUGGAUCUUUUGUCAAAAUAUUUCUCAGUUUCCAAAACUGCAUAGAUACUUUAACAUACACUGUGAUUGGUGUUUCUCAAAGUUCAUCUUGCCUGACUGAUCUGAGGUCAGUUGGAAUUUGAACACAGAUAGCAAACAAGAUAUUUUUCUUCCAUAUAUACAUAUUUUUUAAAGGGUAAUUUUCAUUGCAGAAAUAUUUUGCAUACGUUAUAUCAUUUGCAUAAGAUUUAAGAGUGGCUUUAUAAUGAAUAUAAACCUUUAUCUUAAUGGUUCUUACAAUAAUGUAAAAGAAAAAUGCUAACUUACACAUUGUUAUAAUUCUUUUAUAUCUACAGCCUUUUCUAUAUUCCCAAUUGUUUAAGAAAACUAUUUCAAGAACAAAUCUUCUCUCUGGAAAAUUGCCAUUUUCCAUUUGUUAGGAAUUUUUAUAGAAGAAUACCAAUAUAUGUCCUUUCUUUUACUAUGGAAUAUGUGCUGGAAAAAUUACAGCAAACCAUUACUACCUAAUGAAUAAUACUUGUAUAUCUUCUAGAAUUUGUAAACAUAUUGUGCAAUUCUGUAUAGCUUGAGUAACCCACAGGUUGGUUUACAUUAAAUUUUUAAAUGGGAUGUCAUAUGGAAAACAAUUUCAGGACAGUUUUUAAAAUAAAAUGAGUAUUAUUUUUUCUGUCUGGAAAAAAUGAAGAGUAAUUUUCUUGGC
rnacentral:lncRNA from 1 species